UACGUAGGGUGCAAGCGUUGUCCGGAAUUAUUGGGCGUAAAGCGCACGUAGGCGGAUUUGUAAGUCAGGGGUGAAAUCCCGGGGCUCAACCUCGGAACUGCCUUUGAUACUGCAAAUCUCGAGUCCGGAAGAGGUGAGUGGAAUUCCUAGUGUAGAGGUGAAAUUCGUAGAUAUUAGGAAGAACACCAGUGGCGAAGGCGGCUCACUGGUCCGGUACUGACGCUGAGGUGCGAAAGCGUGGGGAGCAAACAGG
rnacentral:rRNA from 1 species